rnacentral:rRNA from 1 species
UACGUAGGGACCGAGCGUUGUCCGGAAUCAUUGGGCGUAAAGAGCGUGUAGGCGGCCUGGUAAGUCCGCUGUGAAAGUCCAGGGCUCAACCCUGGAAUGCCGGUGGAAACUGUCAGGCUCGAGUCCGGAAGAGGCGAGUGGAAUUCCUGGUGUAGCGGUGAAAUGCGCAGAUAUCAGGAGGAACACCAAUGGCGAAGGCAGCUCGCUGGGACGGUACUGACGCUGAGACGCGAAAGCGUGGGGAGCGAACAGG